rnacentral:misc_RNA from 1 species
AAAUUGCGAAAACUAAUGUGAAUUGCAAACUCUGUGAAUCAUCGAGUCUUUGAACGCAUCUUGCGCCCUUUGGCUCUCCAAAGGGCAUACCUGUUUGAGCAUCAUUUGAAUUAUCAGGCGGUUCUUUUCAUUUCUCUUCAUCGAAGGGAAACUGAAUCCGCCUGGACUUGAGGAUUAGGGUGUUACAACCCUUACCUUUAAAUUCGGUGCGUAACUCGAGCUUCGUGGUGACACGACUAGCUAGCUUUAUUAAUAAUAUCGCUUGCGUUUUAACGUUGUAUCACAUUGUACACGCUGUUCAUAUAGAGUAUCGCUUCCUAGGAAACUGUCAUUCUAAUCGAAUGACAACUUAAUUGAUCUCAAAUCAGGUAAGACUACCCGCUGAACUUAA